rnacentral:rRNA from 1 species
GAUGAACGCUGGCGGCGUGCUUAACACAUGCAAGUCGAACGGAAAGGCCGAAGCUUGCUUCGGUACUCGAGUGGCGAACGGGUGAGUAACACGUGGGUGAUCUGCCCUGUACUUCGGGAUAAGCUUGGGAAACUGGGUCUAAUACCGGAUAUGACGAUCUCUUGGAUGGGGUUGUGGAAAGCUUUUGCGGUAUGGGAUGAGCUCGCGGCCUAUCAGCUUGUUGGUGGGGUAAUGGCCUACCAAGGCGUCGACGGGUAGCCGGCCUGAGAGGGUGUACGGCCACAUUGGGACUGAGAUACGGCCCAGACUCCUACGGGAGGCAGCAGUGGGGAAUAUUGCACAAUGGGCGCAAGCCUGAUGCAGCGACGCCGCGUGGGGGAUGACGGCCUUUGGGUUGUAAACUCCUGUCGCAAUCGACGAAGCCUUUUGGUGACGGUAGGUUGAGAAGAAGCACCGGCUAACUACGUG